UGUUAUACCGCAUAAUAUCUGUGGAUUAAAGGUGGCUUAGGCUGCCGCAGAUGGAUGAGCCUGCGUUGGAUUAGCUAGUUGGUGGGGUAAGGGCCUACCAAGGCUACGAUCCAUAGCUGAUUUGAGAGGAUGAUCAGCCACAUUGGGACUGAGACACGGCCCAAACUCCUACGGGAGGCAGCAGUGGGGAAUAUUGGACAAUGGGGGAAACCCUGAUCCAGCAAUGCCAUGUGUGUGAAGAAGGCUCUAGGGUUGUAAAGCACUUUAGUUGGGGAGGAAAGCCUAUGAGUUAAUAGCUUGUAGGAAGGACGUUACCCAAAGAAUAAGGACCGGCUAACUCCGUGCCAGCAGCCGCGGUAAUACGGGGGGUCCGAGCGUUAAUCGGAAUUACUGGGCGUAAAGGGUCUGUAGGUGGUUUGUUAAGUCAGAUGUGAAAGCCCAGGGCUCAACCUUGGAACUGCAUUUGAUACUGGCAAACUAGAGUAUGGUAGAGGAAUGGGGAAUUUCUGGUGUAGCGGUGAAAUGCGUAGAGAUCAGAAGGAACACCAAUGGCGAAGGCAACAUUCUGGACCAAUACUGACACUGAGGGACGAAAGCGUGGGGAUCAAACAGGAUUAGAUACCCUGGUAGUCCACGCUGUAAACGAUGAGUACUAGCUGUUGGAUUCGGUGUAAAGGAUCUAGUGGCGCAGCUAACGCGUUAAGUACUCCGCCUGGGGACUACGGCCGCAAGGCUAAAACUCAAAGGAAUUGACGGGGACCCGCACAAGCGGUGGAGCAUGUGGUUUAAUUCGAUGCAACGCGAAGAACCUUACCUGGUCUUGACAUCCUGCGAACUUUCUAGAGAUAGAUUGGUGCCUUCGGGAACGCAGUGACAGGUGCUGCACGGCUGUCGUCAGCUCGUGUUGUGAAAUGUUGGGUUAAGUCCCGCAACGAGCGCAACCCCUAUUGAUAGUUACCAUCAUUAAGUUGGGUACUCUAUUGAGACUGCCGCUGACAAGGCGGAGGAAGGUGGGGACGACGUCAAGUCAUCAUGGCCCUUACGACCAGGGCUACACACGUGCUACAAUGGGUAUUACAGAGGGCUGCGAAAGGUGCGAG
rnacentral:rRNA from 1 species